ensembl:snRNA U2 U2 spliceosomal RNA
CUUGCUUCUUGUCCUUUUGGCUAAGAUCAAAUGUAGUAUCUGUUUUUUAUCAGUUUAAUAGGUUUGGUUGAUGAACUGUUGUAGGGGGAGAGAAAGAACAAUCUGGUAUGACCCUUAGGUUUCUGCCUCAAACAGCUGAGUGGAUGGCGUGGGCAUCAUUU